CCUACGGGUGGCAGCAGUGGGGAAUAUUGCGCAAUGGGCGAAAGCCUGACGCAGCGACGCCGCGUGCGGGAUGAAGGUCUUCGGAUCGUAAACCUCUGUCAGCAGGGAAGAACGGUCACUGUGCUAAUCAGCAGUGAAUUGACGGUACCUGCAAAGGAAGCACCGGCUAACUCCGUCCCAGCAGCCGCGGUAAUACGGAGGGUGCGAGCGUUAAUCGGAAUUACUGGGCGUAAAGUGCUCGUAGGCGGUAGGUCAAGUCAAGGGUGAAAUCCCCGGGCUCAACGUGGGAACUGCCUUUGAAACUGGCCAACUGGAGAGUGUGAGAGGAUAGUGGAAUUCCAGGUGUAGGAGUGAAAUCCGUAGAUAUC
rnacentral:rRNA from 1 species